UGUGGUGCUGUUUCUUAUUAUACGUGCGGGAAUGAUUCUUUUUUCUGCAGAGUUGGCCGUUUGUUGCCGGCUAUGUUAUAUGCUUGUGGCUGUUAUCAUAAGACUUGAUGGCUGACUGCCUUCCCAUUUACGAUACUUCGAAACGUUGUUUCAAGCUGAUCCUACGUAGAUGACAAAGCAUCAGCCAGAUGCCAUUCUGCCCCAUUCCUAAUCGGAUAUUGCCGAAUUAUGGAACUGAAUGUCGUACUCCCUGCAAUGUCCAACCAGAAACUACUAGGAUUUCCUCCUAAGAACUCGAAGUAAACGUCAAUAUCUGAGAAUGAAGAGUCCUGAACUCCAAGUUGGCAUUAAUCUCGAUCGAUGAAUGGUGCAUCUUGCCAAUUCUUCAACCUUCUGAAAUAGAUAACUAGUCUGCUGGAUGGUAAAACUUCAAAUGCUGAUGUCCCUUUUUAUAAGCUAGGAAUGAAUUUGGAAGCAAUUAUAGCACAGUAACUUGCUUAUUUCGCAUACUUGAAUAAUCAUGAAUGUCUUUAAUGCUGUUUUAUCUAUAGAAUCGUUCUUUCUCAAGAUGUU